UUUAGAUUUAAAUAUAAAACCUGAGUAGUAAUAGUUAUGGUCUUGAAACUUAAAGAAUUUGGCGGUAUUUUAGUCUAUUUAGAGGAAUCUGUCCCAUUAUCGAUAAUCCGCGUUGGACCUUACUUAAUUAAUUUAAUAUGUAUACCGCCGUAUUUUUUUUUUGAAAAUCUUAUUAGGGUAUUUUCUUAAUAUUUAAUUUUAUAAUAUUUCAGGUCAAGGUGCAGUUUAUAAUUAAGUGGAGAUGGAUUACAAUAUAUUUAUAAACGGAAUAUUAAUUGAAAUAUUUUUAUGAAGGUGGAUUUAAUAGUAAUAUUAAUUAGAUUAUUAAUAUAAUUUAGGCUCUAGAAUGUGU
rnacentral:rRNA from 1 species